UACAGAGGGUGCAAGCGUUAAUCGGAUUUACUGGGCGUAAAGCGCGCGUAGGCGGUUCGUUAAGUCAAAUGUGAAAUCCCCGAGCUUAACUUGGGAAUUGCAUUCGAUACUGGCGAGCUAGAGUGUGGGAGAGGAUGGUAGAAUUCCAGGUGUAGCGGUGAAAUGCGUAGAGAUCUGGAGGAAUACCGAUGGCGAAGGCAGCCAUCUGGCCUAACACUGACGCUGAGGUGCGAAAGCAUGGGGAGCAAAC
rnacentral:rRNA from 1 species